UACAGAGGUCUCAAGCGUUGUUCGGAUUCAUUGGGCGUAAAGGGUGCGUAGGUGGCGCGGUAAGUCGGGUGUGAAAUUUCGGAGCUUAACUCCGAAACUGCAUUCGAUACUGCGGUGCUUGAGGGACUGGGAGAGGAGACUGGAAUUCAUGGUGUAGCAGUGAAAUGCGUAGAGAUCAUGAGGAAGACCAGUGGCGAAGGCGGGUCGUCUGGACAGUUCCUGACACUGAGGCACGAAGGCCAGGGGAGCAAACAGG
rnacentral:rRNA from 1 species